rnacentral:rRNA from 1 species
UACGGAGGGGGCGAGCGUUAUUCGGAAUUAUUGGGCGUAAAGGGCGCGUAGGCGGCUGUACAAGUCAAAGGUGAAAUCCCUCGGCUCAACUGAGGAACUGCCUUUGAAACUGUACGCUUGAGGCCGGGAGGGGGUAGCGGAAUUCCCAGUGUAGCGGUGAAAUGCGUAGAUACUGGGAGGAACACCAGUGGCGAAGGCGGGUCUCUGGACAGUUCCUGACACUGAGGCACGAAGGCCAGGGGAGCAAACGGG